rnacentral:rRNA from 1 species
AGAGUUUGAUCCUGGCUCAGAACGAACGCUGGCGGCAGGCUUAACACAUGCAAGUCGAGCGCACCUUCGGGUGAGCGGCGGACGGGUUAGUAACGCGUGGGAACAUACCCUUUGGUACGGAAUAGCCUCUGGAAACGGAGAGUAAUACCGUAUGAGCCCUUCGGGGGAAAGAUUUAUCGCCAAAGGAUUGGCCCGCGUUAGAUUAGGUAGUUGGUGGGGUAAUGGCCUACCAAGCCUACGAUCUAUAGCUGGUUUUAGAGGAUGAUCAGCAACACUGGGACUGAGACACGGCCCAGACUCCUACGGGAGGCAGCAGUGGGGAAUCUUGGACAAUGGGGGCAACCCUGAUCCAGCCAUGCCGCGUGAGUGAUGAAGGCCUUAGGGUCGUAAAGCUCUUUCGCCUGUGAAGAUAAUGACGGUAGCAGGUAAAGAAACCCCGGCUAACUCCGUGCCAGCAGCCGCGGUAAUACGGAGGGGGUUAGCGUUGUUCGGAAUUACUGGGCGUAAAGCGCACGUAGGCGGACUGGAAAGUUGGGGGUGAAAUCCCAGGGCUCAACCCUGGAACUGCCUCCAAAACUAUCAGUCUAGAGUUCGAGAGAGGUGAGUGGAAUUCCGAGUGUAGAGGUGAAAUUCGUAGAUAUUCGGAGGAACACCAGUGGCGAAGGCGGCUCACUGGCUCGAUACUGACGCUGAGGUGCGAAAGUGUGGGGAGCAAACAGGAUUAGAUACCC